UACGUAGGGUGCAAGCGUUAAUCGGAAUUACUGGGCGUAAAGCGUGCGCAGGCGGUUUUGUAAGCCAGAUGUGAAAGCCCCGGGCUUAACCUGGGAAUGGCAUUUGGGACUGCAAGGCUGGAGUGUGGCAGAGGAGACUGGAAUUCCUGGUGUAGCAGUGAAAUGCGUAGAUAUCAUUUGGAACGCCAAUGGUGAAAACAGGUAGCUGGGAGUGUGCUGACGCUGAGACACGAAAGCCAGGGGAGCGAACGGG
rnacentral:rRNA from 1 species